UGACUUCUUCUUUCUCUUUCAUUCUUCUUUAUUCUCCUCUUUCAUCUUUCUUCGUCUCCUGCUCUUAUUUCUCCGGCGAAUUUGAGAGAAUUAAAUGGAAUUUCUAGGUUCGGCAGAAGGAGGAGAAGAUCUUUUAGCAGUCGGUGGUGUCGGUGAUGGUGUGGCCGUUGAUUCAAAUAUGAAUAUGAGAUAAAUUGAAUUUAGGGUUCUCUGUAAAUCGGUGAAGAUGAAGAUGGUAAGAAGAUUAAGAUCAAUAGAUGAAUAAUAGAACUGUAGGGAUAUCUGAAGAAGCGAGGGUUGAGGUUUAAUUUCAGUUUUGAAGUGGUUAUGGAGAAGAAUCAGUAAGUUAAGGUUUUGCUCAAAGUUCAGAGAACCAUUGAAAUAUGAAAUUGGUGAGCAGGGAUGACGAUUAGACAUGGGUUUUGUUGAUAUAAAGAUUUAUGAUGUUGUUUGUGUUCGAAUUAGAGAAGUUCCAGUUUGGGAAUUAUUUUAGGAUUCUUAUGAGCAUAAGGAUUUGAGAUGAAGAUUAUGAGAUAAACGCUAUGGCUCACUUGUGUUAUAAGAAGAUGGUGGAGCUAUUGUUGGUGUUGAUUCAAGAUGGAGAAGAUGAUGAUUGAAGCUGAGUUUUAGCUGGGAUGAACAAAAAGGAAGUGUUGAUGUUUUUAAAACAAAUGGAUGAAUCAAUUCAGAGAUACCAAUGGAUAAGAAAUGUCAACAAGCUUGUUACACAAUGUUGAUGAAUACAGCAGCGAAUCGUAAUCAAGAUAACAUAUCUUUCCAUCAAAGUCAAUUAGGAUACCAUCAGCACGAUUCUUCAUAGAGUAAUCAAGUUGAAGUUUAGCGAAACUAGGGGUAUUGAAAAUAUUGUUCCAUGUCUUGCAUACACACCUGAAUCUUAUAAACUUUGCUGGUAAGUGGUAACCUUGUUAGGAUGUCAAUGAUGAUGUCUUCUUGGUGUGGACAACUUCCUCUGGCAGCCGUUUCACCAAAUCUAUACAAGUUAUCAAGACACAAAAAUGUUACAAUAGCAGGCAUGAUAUCGAUGGAAGGGAGUUGGAAGUUUGAAUUCAGGCGUGUUCUCUCAAACCAAGAGGUUCAAGAAUAUGCUGCCUUACUCACUAUUAUUGGUGAUAAUCGUCCUGUUCGAGAUGGACUUCUAUACAUGAGAAGGUGGAAGCUUCACAACUCAGGUGUUUUCACAAUCAAGCCGCUCUAUGCAAAGAUGGUUGAUGAUUUUGGUGUUGAUAGCUUCCCGUAUCAAUUUAUUUGGAGACCUGCAAUACCUCCAAAAAUCAACAUCUUAAUGUGGUCCCUACGACCUGGAAAGUUGAAUACCAUUGAUGUAUGGAUCUAUAUAACUCUUGCGCGUUGUGUGGAACUGAUGUUGAGUCGCAUGAUCAUUUAUUUCUCCACUGUAAAAUCGCCUACAAGAUUUGGUCCGAUCUCCUCCCAAAUACAGGAUGGUUUUGGGUUGUGCCUUGUACAAUGAAGAUAUUGGCAGAUAUGUGGCAUGACAAACACUUCUCAAGUUCUGGUAACUAUAUAUGGGGCUUAAUCCCCUGCAAUUGUUAAUACAAUUUGGAGGGAAAGGAAUUGCAGACGAUUUGAAGCUGAUUACAUGUAUAAAACUGAUGAUGACCUAAUUCAAGAAGCUAAGUCAUCGGUCUUGGCUUGGGCAGAAGCUGCAGGUCACCAUGUCCACUUGAACUUCUCAAUUUCAAUGCUUUCUACAUGGGAUUCUAUUUUUAUGUAAUCAUUACAGUCCGUGUUUA